UCCAGACUCCUACGGGAGGCAGCAGUGGGGAAUCUUCCGCAAUGGGCGAAAGCCUGACGGAGCAACGCCGCGUGAUCGAAUGAAGGCCUUCGGGUUGUAAAGAUCUGUUGACAGGGACGAAUAAGUCAUGCGAAUAGUUUGGUGUAUGACGGUACCUGUUUAGAAAGCUCCGGCUAACUACGUGCCAGCAGCCGCGGUAAUACGUAGGUGGCAAGCGUUGUCCGGAUUUACUGGGUGUAAAGGGCGUGCAGCCGGAGAGACAAGUCAGAUGUGAAAUCCACGGGCUCAACCCGUGAACUGCAUUUGAAACUGUUUCCCUUGAGUGUCGGAGAGGUAAUCGGAAUUCCUUGUGUAGCGGUGAAAUGCGUAGAUAUAAGGAAGAACACCAGUGGCGAAGGCGGAUUACUGGACGAUAACUGACGGUGAGGCGCGAAAGCGUGGGGAGCAAACAGGAUUAGAUACCCCAGUAACA
rnacentral:rRNA from 1 species